rnacentral:rRNA from 1 species
CGCGUGGGAAUCUACCUAGCUCUACGGAAUAGCUCCGGGAAACUGGAAAUAAUACCGUAUACGUCCUGGAGAAGAUUAUCGGAGUUAGUAUGAGCCCGCCGUUGGAUUAGCUAGUUGGUGGGGUAAGUGGCGUACCAAGGCGACGAUCCAUAGCUCGGUCUGAGAGGAUGAUCAGCCACACUGGGACUGAGACACGGCCCAGACUCCUACGGGAGGCAGCAGUGGGGAAUAUUGGACAAUGGGCGAAAGCCUGAUCCAGCCAUGCCGCGUGAGUGAUGAAGGCCCUAGGGUUGUAAAGCU